CCAAUAGCGUAUAUUAAAGUUGCUGCAGUUAAAAAGCUCGUAGUUGAAUUUCGGGACCAUCAUGUCGGUCGUGCCUCGGUACGUACUGGCAUUGUUGGUUUCUCCCUUCUGACGAACCACGAUGUCAUUUAUUUGGUGUUGUGGGGAAUCAGGACUGUUACUUUGAAAAAAUUAGAGUGUUUAAAGCAGGCUCACGCUUGAAUACAUUAGCAUGGAAUAAUGAAAUAGGACGUUUGAUUCUAUUUUGUUGGUUUCUAGGAUCGACGUAAUGAUUAAUAGGGAUAGUUGGGGGCAUUAGUAUUCAAUUGUCAGAGGUGAAAUUCUUGGAUUUAUUGAAGACUAACUACUGCGAAAGCAUUUGCCAAGGAUGUUUUCAUUAAUCAAGAACGAAAGUUAGGGGAUCGAAGACGAUCAGAUACCGUCGUAGUCUUAACCAUAAACUAUGCCGACUAGGGAUCAGAUGAUGUUAAUUUUUUAAUGACUCAUUCGGCGCCUUACG
rnacentral:rRNA from 1 species